CUGGAGGAGCCGUCGCCGGGAUUUUUGUGGCUUGCAUAGUCGGGGCUGUCUUUCUUGUAAGAAAAAUAGCCAAUAGUGCAGAAAAUGCUUUGGAGCCAAGCCCAGAAGAGUUUCCAUGAGUUCCACGGAUUUAAUGUUCCCCAUCUCCCCAAGAAGAGAAGCUCCAUUUAUUUGAAAAUGAUGAUGAAAGAAUCAAGGGCCCCUUGAUAAGCAUCAACCUUUGUACCUAGCCCAAACCCAACAGGGCAGGGGGAAAGCACACCAUCAUGUCCACAGAUGAAAUUAAAAACAAAACAAGAAAACCCUCAAAUGCUUA